UACGGAGGAUGCAAGCGUUAUCCGGAUUCAUUGGGUUUAAAGGGUGCGUAGGCGGGCUAUUAAGUCAGUUGUGAAAUCCUGCAGCUUAACUGCAGAACUGCCGUUGAUACUGAUAGUCUUGAGUUUGGUUAAGGUAGGCGGAAUGUGUAAUGUAGCGGUGAAAUGCUUAGAUAUUACACAGAACACCAAUUGCGUAGGCAGCUUACUGAGCCGACACUGACGCUGAGGCACGAAAGCGUGGGGAUCGAACAGGAUUA
rnacentral:rRNA from 1 species